rnacentral:rRNA from 1 species
UACAGAGGGGGCAAGCGUUGUUCGGAAUUACUGGGCGUAAAGGGCGCGUAGGCGGCCACCUAAGUCAGACGUGAAAUCCCUCGGCUCAACCGGGGAACUGCGUCUGAUACUGAGUGGCUUGAAUUCGGGAGAGGAAUGCGGAAUUUCAGGUGUAGCGGUGAAAUGCGUAGAUAUCUGGAGGAACACCGGUGGCGAAGGCGGCAUUCUGGACCGACAUUGACGCUGAGGCGCGAAAGCCAGGGGAGCAAACGGG